AGCUUUUUGAAUCCGUGCUGAGAUUUAGUCAGACAACAUCCCAUUAGUGCUGAUCAGAAUUCCAAGAUAAGCGAAGUU
rnacentral:pre_miRNA from 1 species